GCCCGCCCCCACGUUUCCGGGAGCCCGGCGGACGCUGGGUCUGCAGAUGCCAUCCAGGCGCACGGCGGGUAUAGUGGUUCCGCAACCUUGGGAUGUUCGGCUGAGCGCCUGCCUAACAUGGGAGCGCCUGCCUAACCCUCCUGACUGGAGGGUCAGCGGCGGGGAGUCCUGGCCUUCAAUCGGCCAUCGCCACGGCAGAAACUGGGGCCCGGGCUGCGUCCAGGCCCUUCCCCGUCCGUCCACAGGUCUCAUGGGCGCCCGGACUGGGGCUGAUGUAGUUUCCCGACCUCUGACACAUAGGAUCUGGAGAUUAAAGCUGCUCUGCUAAUAAUUAGGUUCCCACCUCUCAAGAUCAUUAGGAGCUUCUUUUCCAAUUCCUCUGUUUUGCAUGCAUUGGAAGGCCCCUGGAUCCUCCUGGAAUCCCUGAUCCCUGUUGCUCCCUGGCGGAGUUUUCUAGUCCCUCUUACUUGAAGCAUGUCUUUCAGAGCCCGGCACCACCCAAGUUGGGUAUCUGAUACCCCAUCAGCCUGAGUCUCUUAAAGGCCUUUAUACACAUAUGUCUACACAUAGGGAUUUGGAUGAUCUCGGGAUCCCACAUCCUCGCUGUCCCCUGUCCCCCCACAACAUCCCACACCAAUACCUUUCUGAAGUUUUCUAGUCCCUCCUUUUUGUUUGUGGUCCUUAAAGCCCAGCCCCAUGCCUGACUUUGGUUCCCAGUGAGCAUUGUACAUUUGUGGAUAUUAAAUCUUUGGCAAAGUCAUUUACCUGGGCUGGAA
rnacentral:lncRNA from 1 species